UGGGGAAUUUUGGACAAUGGACGCAAGUCUGAUCCAGCCAUGCCGCGUGCGGGAAGAAGGCCUUCGGGUUGUAAACCGCUUUUGUCAGGGAAGAAACGAGUUUCUCUAAUACAGAGACUUAAUGACGGUACCUGAAGAAUAAGCACCGGCUAACUACGUGCCAGCAGCCGCGGUAAUACGUAGGGUGCAAGCGUUAAUCGGAAUUACUGGGCGUAAAGCGUGCGCAGGCGGUUAUGUAAGACAGAUGUGAAAUCCCCGGGCUCAACCUGGGAACUGCGUUUGUGACUGCAUAACUAGAGUACGGCAGAGGGGGGUGGAAUUCCACGUGUAGCAGUGAAAUGCGUAGAUAUGCGGAGGAACACCGAUGGCGAAGGCAAUCCCCUGGACCUGUACUGACGCUCAUGCACGAAAGCGUGGGGAGCAAACA
rnacentral:rRNA from 1 species